GAAGCAGCAUCCAUUUUUUGGGUACUAAUAAAUGACGGACGGGUAACGAAGAAUGACAUGUUGAAUAUUCCAAAAAAAUUGAGGAUAUAACAAGGUUAGUUAUCCUGUGGUGGUAAAACGAGGCGGUCUUGUCCUUCCACCAGCUUUGCAGAUCGAAUUAUGUCACCCGUUUUGAUCUGAGGAAGGAUAUCUCUCCCAACAGUUGUAUAUCCGAAGACCGAAAAUUGACCCUCAUCAAAUGACAAUCCUCCCAAGCCAGAAUUUCUCUUAUCGUAAAGGUAGAAGAAGAACUGACUUGG
rnacentral:misc_RNA from 1 species